rfam:Capsella rubella cultivar Monte Gargano unplaced genomic scaffold scaffold_2, whole genome shotgun sequence.
AAGCCUUGAUGGAUACAUUGCGAUUGAUAUCCCUUGAAACGCUCUCAAGCCUCACAAAAGGUCUCGUUGUUCUUCUGAGCAAAGCUGGAUAUGUCAUUCUCGAGACA